AGCCCCGCCCCCACGGGCCCGCCCGGAGGCUUAAACCGCAACCCCGCGGCUCUGGAGGGCGUUGAUGCCCGCGCCAACACCAGGCCGUGCGUGGGCUCCGGAGCGCGGCAUGGAGGGGCCGGCCUAGCUGGAGCCCGUGGCCCUAUGUCUUCUGGCUGCGACUCCGGUCCUGCGCACGCUGCGGGGCCGCUGCCGCCGGGCGUAUCAGACUAUCAGAAGGCAUGAAGAAACCUGGGCUGAGAGUCUUCGUUCCAGGAGACCUGAUCUUGACUGUAUGGCUGGUUUGAGGCGCAUCACUCUGAACUGCAGCACGCUCAUUGGUGACCUGGGUACAAGUGCUUUGGCAGAAUCUCUUAGUGAGGAUUUAUGGCUUAGAGGACUCUUCCACACGUGAGAAAAUGGGAGCUGUCUAUAUGUUAAAUCUGUAUAGACUUCGCAAAUGACCUUUUGUCUUUCAUCGAAAGCACUGGACCUGCAGCAGUGUGGCCUCACCAGUGAGGGAGCAAAGGCUUUACUAAAGGCCCUUGAAACCAACAGAACUCUGCUCGUUCUGGAUAUAAGAAAAAAUCCACUUAUUGUACCAGUGGAUAACUUCUCCAUCGGUGAAGGAACCAUACAAAGCUGCUAGACAGAAAAGGAGAACUAUAAUUUUGGAAAGUGGUUGAAAAGGAAAAGCUACUAUUAGAAUUGAUGUCCAGUGGAGCCCCAGAAUAAAAGCAAGAUGAAUAUUCAAUUCCACAUUGGCAACACCAAAGAAGAUGAUGCUUUAGAAAAAAGAUUUCUCGACAAAGCUCUUGAACUCAAUAUGAUCUCCCCGAAAAGGCAUAGGUGAGUACAUGUCCCAUUCA